rnacentral:rRNA from 1 species
AUUGAACGCUGGCGGCAGGCCUAACACAUGCAAGUCGAACGGUAACAGGAAGCAGCUUGCUGCUUCGCUGACGAGUGGCGGACGGGUGAGUAGUGUCUGGGAAGCUGCCUGAUGGAGGGGGAUAACUACUGGAAACGGUAGCUAAUACCGCAUAAUGUCGCAAGACCAAAGAGGGGGACCUUCGGGCCUCUUGCCAUCGGAUGUUCCCAGAUGGGAUUAGCUUGUUGGUGGGGUAACGGCUCACCAAGGCGACGAUCCCUAGCUGGUCUGAGAGGAUGACCGGCCACACUGGAACUGAGACACGGUCCAGACUCCUACGGGAGGCAGCAGUGGGGAAUCUUGCACAAUGGGCGAAAGCCUGAUGCAGCCAUGCCGCGUGUAUGAAGAAGGCCUUCGGGUUGCAAAGUACUUUCUGCGGGGAGGAAGGGAGUAAAGAUAAUACCUUUGCUCAUUGACGUUACCCGCAGAGGAAGCACCGGCUAACUCCGUG